rnacentral:ncRNA from 1 species
CACCCGGCCAGGAUCCCGUGGGGGGAAUCCGUGACCGGGAAACGGGAGCGCCCCGUCGACAGGC